rnacentral:lncRNA from 1 species
UUUGAUGAGAAGAAUAAGCCUCAUUCUGAUUCAACAGCAGAGAUCAAAGAAAAGACUUCUGUUUUCUGGCCACCAGAUAUAUGUUAUCUGUGCUUAAAGAAUUGAAAAACACACAUCAAAGGAGAAUUUUCUUGGAAAGAGAGGGUUCAAGCAUCACUGUUAGGUGUGCUGGAAUCCUUUCCCGAGUCAGUACUGCUUUCUAGAAGAAAACCGGGGAGAUCUAUUUGGAAUGUAUCUAACUCCAAAGAAACCAUCAGAGGUAACAGUAGAGACGGGGUUUCACCAUGUUGGCCAGACUGGUCUUGAACUCUCGACCUCGUGAUUCGCCCGCCUCGGCCUCCCAAAGUGCUGGGAUUACAGGUGUGAGACACCACACCCGGCGGAUAGAGAGAAUUUUGACAGGUGAUGGAGGCUUUUUAUUUUGCCACAAAACCACUGGUGACGUUGCCUGUGGCCACCUUGGAGAAGACACUGGAGGCCUGGGACAUGGAGACUGCUUUUCUGCAGAAACCACAUCCCUUGGAGUAAUGAGCUACA